UGAAGUACGACAUUUUCUUCCAUUGUCUUCGGAUCUGCAAAAUAAAUAUAUUCAUCUGUUUAUCAAAAACAUGUCUUAUUGAAAAUAAUUUUACGUCACUCUGCCCAAUGAAUAAUUUAUUGGCUGCAGUAUAAUUGACUGUAUAAAGGUAGCACAAUCAACUGAUCUUUAAGUGAAACCUGGAAUGAAAGGAUUAAUGAAAUAUAUACUGUCUCACAUGUAAAUUAUGAAUUUAAAAUUUUAAUAAAAAUGUCAAAAUCUUUUUA